rnacentral:rRNA from 1 species
UACGUAGGGUGCGAGCGUUGUCCGGAAUUACUGGGCGUAAAGAGCUCGUAGGUGGUUUGUCGCGUCGUUUGUGUAAGUCCACGGCUUAACUGUGGGAUGGCAGGCGAUACGGGCAUAACUUGAGUGCUGUAGGGGAGACUGGAAUUCCUGGUGUAGCGGUGAAAUGCGCAGAUAUCAGGAGGAACACCGAUGGCGAAGGCAGGUCUCUGGGCAGUAACUGACGCUGAGGAGCGAAAGCAUGGGUAGCGAAACAGG